rnacentral:rRNA from 1 species
UACGAAGGGGGCUAGCGUUGCUCGGAAUCACUGGGCGUAAAGGGUGCGUAGGCGGGUCUUUAAGUCAGGGUGAAAUCCUGGAGCUCAACUCCAGAACUGCCUUGAUACUGAAGAUCUUGAGUUCGGGAGAGGUGAGUGGAACUGCGAGUGUAGAGGUGAAAUUCGUAGAUAUUCGCAAGAACACCAGUGGCGAAGGCGGACUCACUGGCCCGAUACUGACGCUGAGGCACGAAAGCG